AACGCGAAGAACCUUACCUGGGCUCGAACGGCUUCAGACAGUCGUGGAAACACGAUCUUCCCCUUAAAAGGACUGGAGUCGAGGUGCUGCAUGGCUGUCGUCAGCUCGUGUCGUGAGAUGUUGGGUUAAGUCCCGCAACGAGCGCAACCCUUGUCCUGUGUUGCCACUCCCGCAAGGGAAGCACUCUCAGGAGACCGCCAGCGAUAAGCUGGAGGAAGGUGGGGAUGAUGUCAAGUCAUCAUGGCCUUUAUGUCCAGGGCUACACACGUGCUACAAUGGACGGUACAAAGCGCUGCAAACCCGCGAGGGGGAGCCAAUCGCAAAAAACCGUUCUCAGUUCGGAUCGCAGGCUGCAACUCGCCUGCGUGAAGCUGGAAUCGCUAGUAAUGGCGUAUCAGAAUGAUGCCGUGAAUACGUUCCCGGGCCUUGUA
rnacentral:rRNA from 1 species